UGGGGAAUCUUCCGCAAUGGACGAAAGUCUGACGGAGCAACGCCGCGUGAGUGAUGACGGCCUUCGGGUUGUAAAGCUCUGUUAAUCGGGACGAAUGGUUCUUGUGCGAAUAGUGCAAGGAUUUGACGGUACCGGAAUAGAAAGCCACGGCUAACUACGUGCCAGCAGCCGCGGUAAUACGUAGGGGGCAAGCGUUGUCCGGAAUUAUUGGGCGUAAAGCGCGCGCAGGCGGAUUGGUCAGUCUGUCUUAAAAGUUCGGGGCUUAACCCCGUGAUGGGAUGGAAACUGCCAAUCUAGAGUAUCGGAGAGGAAAGUGGAAUUCCUAGUGUAGCGGUGAAAUGCGUAGAUAUUAGGAAGAACACCAGUGGCGAAGGCGACUUUCUGGACGAAAACUGACGCUGAGGCGCGAAAGCCAGGGGAGCGAACGGG
rnacentral:rRNA from 1 species